rnacentral:rRNA from 1 species
AUUUAAAAGUAAAAAUAUAGACUUGAAUAUUAAUAGUUAUCUUCUUUAAAAUCAAAGAAUUUGGCGGUAAUUUAGUCUUGUUAGAGGAACCUGUUUUAUAAACGAUAAAUCACGCAAUAUCUUACUUAUUUUUGUAAUAAAUUUCAGUUUGUAUACCUUCAUUAUUAAAUAAUUUUGAAAAAAAAUAAUUAUUGGAAUUGAUAAUUAAUUUAAGAAUAUUAGAUCAAGGUGCAGCUUAUAAAUAAGUAAAAAUGGGUUACAAUAAUAUAUAAUUAUACGGAUAAUAAAAAGAAUAAUUUAUUUAAAGGUGGAUUUAAUUGUAAAAGUGUUUUAAUAAGUCUCUUUGAUAUUAGCUCUAAGUUAUGUACAUAUCGCCCGUCACUUUCAUUUAAAAU